rnacentral:rRNA from 1 species
AACGCGAAGAACCUUACCUGGGCUCGAAAUGUACAGGAAUGCGGUAGAAAUAUCGCCGUCCAGCAAUGGGCCGCUAUAUAGGUGCUGCAUGGCUGUCGUCAGCUCGUGUCGUGAGAUGUUGGGUUAAGUCCCGCAACGAGCGCAACCCUUAUCCCCAGUUGCCAUCAUUUAGUUGGGCACUCUGGUGAAACCGCCUCGGAUAACGGGGAGGAAGGUGGGGAUGACGUCAAGUCCUCAUGGCCUUUAUGUCCAGGGCUACACACGUGCUACAAUGGCCGGUACAAACCGUCGCAAACCCGUGAGGGGGAGCUAAUCGGAAAAAGCCGUCCUCAGUUCGGAUUGUAGUCUGCAACUCGACUACAUGAAGCUGGAAUCGCUAGUAAUCGCGGAUCAGAACGCCGCGGUGAAUACGUUCCCGGGCCUUGUACACACCGACUGUAC